UUCUUCCACUAUCUGGACAUGCCCACCGCUCUGCCAGCCAACCAGCGAGGAACCUCAGCCCAACGGACCCUAGCGUCGGGUUUCAACCACCAUCUGGAGUAGAUUCCGAUUUAUACCGGUGCUUUGGCUAUCGUUUGUUCAUGGCACUCCCUUUCAACGUUUCUUGAAACUUCUCUCUCAAGUUCUCCCGCACUUUGGCGGCUCUAACUUUGCCUAUCUCAACUGCUUUGAGCUAGCGUAAGUAGGCUAGGCGGAUCGCCAAGCCGCCAACAACUGAAGGAGCUACUCCCGUUGCGGCAGCGACCGACAACCCACAAUCUACCCACAUAAACGCCAGCCAUACGCGGCUCUCGAAACGCUUGCGUACAACCGCAACUACAUCACCUGGUGAGGGAGGCCCGCACCUUGGGACGUGACUGACUCCGUACAGCAAACAUCCCACAACGACCAACUGCAGAGGCGAUACCACGCAGCCGAAACGCCUGACAACACCGAUGACCCACUAGCGUACGCUCGCGGACACCAAAUACUAGCAUGCUACUCCACGUCUGCGCGAACUCCUGACGUAGAGCCACACUU
rnacentral:rRNA from 1 species